rnacentral:lncRNA from 1 species
GCUGCAUCUUUGAAUGGCGACCAAAAAAGACAUGCAUUUGUCUGGCAAAGUCGCUGGCGUUCGCCUGGUGCCCGCGCUUGCCGGGUCCUAGCGCAGCCAGAUUCUCACACCAGCGAGUCCAGCGCCCAGAGCCACUCCUCCUUCGGAUCACCUGUUUCUCACAUGCGCCUCCGCAGCAGCACUGGCCUGACAGUUUUCCGGUUGCGACAGCGCUAGUUGAGCCAAACAAAACGUUUUCCUGCUUGCUCUGGGCGUCCCAUUCUCCAUCCGAGGCCUUCUAGUCCCGGUGUCACUGUCGCAGCACCUGGCGUUCGUUAGCUCUUUCACCAGCGGCGCGGAGCGGGCGGUUUUGCUGUCACGGCACAUGUGGCACGGAGUUUCUCGGUGGCCGAAACCCUCUUUUUUCUCAGAGUCCAGUUUCUUGGUGACAGCGCCGUUGGUUGCGCCAUAAGGAAUGUUGUCCUUGACAACCCGCCGGCUGCAGUCAUUCGCAAGCUCCAGGCACCGACAUUUCGCAGAACUGAGGUCUCUCGGUCUCAGCACAGCUCGUUGCUCGAUGCCUCCAUUUUCUCGGGGCGACAGCACUCAGGUCGCCGAUCUGAGGGAUUCGGAGCUUCCCCAGCUGGGGAACUAGCUCUGUCACCUGGGUUGGAAUGCAGUGGCAUGAUCCUGGCUCACUGCAACCUCCAUCUCCCAGACACAAGCGAUCCUGCCACCUCAGCCUCCUGAGUAGCUG